rnacentral:rRNA from 1 species
UACGUAGGGUGCAAGCGUUGUCCGGAAUUAUUGGGCGUAAAGAGCUCGUAGGUGGUUUGUCGCGUCUGCUGUGAAAACCCGAGGCUCAACCUCGGGCCUGCAGUGGGUACGGGCAGACUAGAGUGCGGUAGGGGAGAUUGGAAUUCCUGGUGUAGCGGUGGAAUGCGCAGAUAUCAGGAGGAACACCAAUGGCGAAGGCAGAUCUCUGGGCCGUAACUGACGCUGAGGAGCGAAAGCAUGGGGAGCGAACAGG